AUUGAACGCUGGCGGAAUGCUUUACACAUGCAAGUCGAACGGCAGCACGGACUUCGGUCUGGUGGCGAGUGGCGAACGGGUGAGUAAUGUAUCGGAACGUGCCCAGUCGUGGGGGAUAACGUAGUGAAAAUUACGCUAAUACCGCAUACGAUCUAUGGAUGAAAGCGGGGGAUCGCAAGACCUCGCGCGAUUGGAGCGGCCGAUAUCAGAUUAGGUAGUUGGUGGGGUAAAGGCCCACCAAGCCCACGAUCUGUGGCUGGUCUGAGAGGACGACCAGCCACACUGGAACGGAGACACGGUCCAGACUCCUACGGGAGGCAGCAGUGGGGAAUUUUGGACAAUGGGCGAAAGCCUGAUCCAGCCAUUCCGCGUGCAGGAUGAAGGCCCUCGGGUUGUAAACUGCUUUUGUACAGAACGAAAAGGUUUCUACUAAUACUAGGAGCUCAUGACGGUACUGUAAGAAUAAGCACCGGCUAACUACGUGCCAGCCGCCGCAGUAA
rnacentral:rRNA from 1 species